AGUCGAUGGGAAACAGGUUAAUAUUCCUGUACUUGGUGUUACUGCGAAGGGGGGACGGAGAAGGCUAUGUUGGCCGGGCGACGGUUGUCCCGGUUUAAGCGUGUAGGCUGGUUUUCCAGGCAAAUCCGGAAAAUCAAGGCUGAGGCGUGAUGACGAGGCACUACGGUGCUGAAGCAACAAAUGCCCUGCUUCCAGGAAAAGCCUCUAAGCAUCAGGUAACAUCAAAUCGUACCCCAAACCGACACAGGUGGUCAGGUAGAGAAUACCAAGGCGCUUGAGAGAACUCGGGUGAAGGAACUAGGCAAAAUGGUGCCGUAACUUCGGGAGAAGGCACGCUGAUAUGUAGGUGAAGCGACUUGCUCGUGGAGCUGAAAUCAGUCGAAGAUACCAGCUGGCUGCAACUGUUUAUUAAAAACACAGCACUGUGCAAACACGAAAGUGGACGUAUACGGUGUGACGCCUGCCCGGUGCCGGAAGGUUAAUUGAUGGGGUCAGCGCAAGCGAAGCUCUUGAUCGAAGCCCCGGUAAACGGCGGCCGUAACUAUAACGGUCCUAAGGUAGCGAAAUUCCUUGUCGGGUAAGUUCCGACCUGCACGAAUGGCGUAAUGAUGGCCAGGCUGUCUCCACCCGAGACUCAGUGAAAUUGAACUCGCUGUGAAGAUGCAGUGUACCCGCGGCAAGACGGAAAGACCCCGUGAACCUUUACUAUAGCUUGACACUGAACAUUGAGCCUUGAUGUGUAGGAUAGGUGGGAGGCUUUGAAGUGUGGACGCCAGUCUGCAUGGAGCCGGCCUUGAAAUACCACCCUUUAAUGUUUGAUGUUCUAACGUUGACCCGUGAUCCGGGUUGCGGACAGUGUCUGGUGGGUAGUUUGACUGGGGCGGUCUCCUCCUAAAGAGUAACGGAGGAGCACGAAGGUUGGCUAAUCCUGGUCGGACAUCAGGAGGUUAGUGCAAUGGCAUAAGCCAGCUUGACUGCGAGCGUGACGGCGCGAGCAGGUGCGAAAGCAGGUCAUAGUGAUCCGGUGGUUCUGAAUGGAAGGGCCAUCGCUCAACGGAUAAAAGGUACUCCGGGGAUAACAGGCUGAUACCGCCCAAGAGUUCAUAUCGACGGCGGUGUUUGGCACCUCGAUGUCGGCUCAUCACAUCCUGGGGCUGAAGUAGGUCCCAAGGGUAUGGCUGUUCGCCAUUUAAAGUGGUACGCGAGCUGGGUUUAGAACGUCGUGAGACAGUUCGGUCCCUAUCUGCCGUGGGCGCUGGAGAACUGAGGGGGGCUGCUCCUAGUACGAGAGGACCGGAGUGGACGC
rnacentral:rRNA from 1 species